rnacentral:rRNA from 1 species
CGCCGCGUGAGCGAUGAAGCCCUUCGGGGUGUAAAGCUCUUUCGACGGGAACGAUAAUGACGGUACCCGAAGAAGAAGCUGCGGCUAACUACGUGC